GAUGAACGCUGGCGGCGUGCCUAAUACAUGCAAGUCGAGCGAACGGACGAGAAGCUUGCUUCUCUGAUGUUAGCGGCGGACGGGUGAGUAACACGUGGAUAACCUACCUAUAAGACUGGGAUAACUUCGGGAAACCGGAGCUAAUACCGGAUGAUAUUUUGAACCGCAUGGUUCAAAAGUGAAAGACGGUCUUGCUGUCACUUAUAGAUGGAUCCGCGCUGCAUUAGCUAGUUGGUAAGGUAACGGCUUACCAAGGCAACGAUGCAUAGCCGACCUGAGAGGGUGAUCGGCCACACUGGAACUGAGACACGGUCCAGACUCCUACGGGAGGCAGCAGUAGGGAAUCCUCCGCAAUGGGCGAAAGCCUGACGGAGCAACGCCGCGUGAGUGAUGAAGGUCUUCGGAUCGUAAAACUCUGUUAUUAGGGAAGAACAUAUGUGUAAGUAACUGUGCACAUCUUGACGGUACCUAAUCUGAAAGCCACGGCUAGCUACGUG
rnacentral:rRNA from 1 species